ACGAAGGGGGCUAACGUUGUUCGGAUUUACUGGGCGUAAAGCGUACGUAGGCGGAUUAGUAAGUUAGGGGUGAAAUCCCGAGGCUCAACCUCGGAACUGCCUUUAAUACUGCUAAUCUAGAGAUCGGGAGAGGUGUAUGGAACUCCUAGUGUAGAGGUGGAAUUCGUAGAUAUUAGGAAGAACACCCGUGGCGAAGGCGAUACACUGGCCCGAUACUGACGCUGAGGUACGAAAGCGUGGGGAGCAAACAGG
rnacentral:rRNA from 1 species